rnacentral:rRNA from 1 species
CGAUAACAAAACAUCACCUUGAGAAUGCGUCUGAUCUCUGAAACUAAGCAGGGUUGGGCCUGGUUAGGACUGGAUGGGAGACCAAUUAAAACAGCAGGUGCCGUAGCGG